AGCCCAAUGGUGUAAUGGAUCAUAACUGCUUCAAGGUCCAUUUCUAUUUGGGCUGUUUGGGCAGACAUCCUGGGUUCGAGCCCCAGUUGGGCCU